UAGGGAAUCUUCGGCAAUGGACGAAAGUCUGACCGAGCAACGCCGCGUGAGUGAAGAAGGUUUUCGGAUCGUAAAACUCUGUUGUUAGAGAAGAACAAGGACGUUAGUAACUGAACGUCCCCUGACGGUAUCUAACCAGAAAGCCACGGCUAACUACGUGCCAGCAGCCGCGGUAAUACGUAGGUGGCAAGCGUUGUCCGGAUUUAUUGGGCGUAAAGCGAGCGCAGGCGGUUUCUUAAGUCUGAUGUGAAAGCCCCCGGCUCAACCGGGGAGGGUUAUUGGAAACUGGGAGACUUGAGUGCAGAAGAGGAGAGUGGAAUUCCAUGUGUAGCGGUGAAAUGCGUAGAUAUAUGGAGGAACACCAGUGGCGAAGGCGGCUCUCUGGUCUGUAACUGACGCUGAGGCUCGAAAGCGUGGGGAGCAAACAGG
rnacentral:rRNA from 2 species